rnacentral:rRNA from 1 species
UACGGGGGGAGCAAGCGUUGUUCGGAUUUACUGGCCGUAAAGGGCGCGUAGGCGGCCUCCGCAAGUCAGUUGUGAAAUCUCCGAGCUUAACUCGGAAAGGUCAACUGAUACUGCGGGGCUAGAGUGCGGAAGGGGCAACUGGAAUUCUUGGUGUAGCGGUGAAAUGCGUAGAUAUCAAGAGGAACACCUGCGGCGAAGGCGGGUUGCUGGGCCGACACUGACGCUGAGGCGCGAAAGCUAGGGGAGCGAACGGG